CUUCUAAAAAUAUAAUAAAAAAAGAAUUAGUGAAAAAUUCCAAUCCAAACGAAGAUAUAACAAUAAAUAUGACCGCGCGUCAGGAGGCGGGCCGCGGCGCGCAGCUGCUGCGUGCGGCGCAGGCUACCAAAGAAGCUCGAACAGCCCAUAGAUUACAGAAAACUGUACAAAAUAUACAAAUUAUCGAGAAGGAAGGCACGCAAUAUGAAGCUGGAAUGGGAGAUUAAGCAUCCAUCAAUGUUACAAGGAGAUAUCAUGCCGACUCUGAGGGGACAUUUUUUCAGCAGUGGUCCAAUUAAUGCCACAAAACUUCAUUUUAUUAAUAUUCAAAACUUUAUUAUUAAUUAUUUUUUACACUUAAAGGACCAGUAAAUCAUAUGCAAUUCAUAUUUUACUUUAUUAUUUCAGAUAUACCCCCUAAAAAAAUUCUCCAAACACAUCAAUUUUUCGCUGCUAUAGAGGUAUGUAACUCCUUAAAACAUCUGAAUCAAGGAUUUGCGCGAAUCCUUAUAGUAAAUCUCACACAUCUCGUCGUCCUUAUCAUCUGACUCACUAGCAAUGCGUGCAAUGACCAACAAGAUAAUCGAUAUGAAUUGACGUGCUUGUGGUCAAUGUUGGAGUUCCGAGACAAAGGAAUAAAAAAAGUUCACCGAGACAAAGAAAUAAAAAAAUAUUAAGCAGGUGGGUUAGCGUUGCAUGUAAAUACUCUUUCGAAUUGCCAUGGUGCUUGAGCACUUCCAAUAGGCGAUACAAAAUAGUCCUUUAAAUAAUUACGUAAGCCCACAGAAACAGAUCCAGCUCUAUCAGGUCCUACUCUUGAUAACUCUCUAAAGUAUUCUGCAAAUCCUACAGUAUGCCAUCGGUUUUCAUGAUGUCUUCCUUCAUCAUUUUCUACAUCAAGCCAUUCAGGUCGAGAAUAUUGGCUAUUAUCAUUAGCAUUCAUGGCAAAAUUAUGUAAACACACAAGUGCUUUACAAAUCUUUUCUGCAUUUUGUACCGAGCAACACAUCCUUUUAUGUAGGAUCCUCCAACGAGAAGUAAGAAUACCAAAAGUAUUCUCUACACAAUCGUGCUCGACUUAAUCGAUAGUUAAAUACACGUUCCUCAUCUGUCAUUCUGCUAACUCUCCUUGAAAAAGGACGCAUUAAAUACGGUUUUAGAGGAAAUGCUUCGUCAGCCACUAUGACAAAAGGAAAUGGAAUAUCUCUUCCUGGUAAAGGCAUGGGUUCUGGCAAAUCUGCUGCAUUACUUUCUAAAUCAGCAGCCAAAUUCGUUUGGCUCCAUAUGCCACCAUCACUUAUUGAACCUACAAAUCAUACUUCUUAUUAAGUAGGACUGCAUACAAUAAUAUUUCAUAAAUUUAUAAAUAAAACAUAUUUACCAAAUUGACCAAUAUCAACCUAUUUGAAUUUAUAGUUAGCGUCGCACAGUGCUAAAAGAACUAUACUAAAGUAUCCUUUAUAAUUAAAAAAGUGAGAUCCUGAACAUGGCGGUGCUUGUAUUUCUAUAUGGCGCCCGUCAAGUGCUCCUACGCAAUUUUGAAAUUGCCACUUAAACAAGAAGUCUUCACUUUUCUUUUUCCAUUCAUCAGCACUCAAUGUAGGCAAAACAACAGGUUGUAGAGCUAGCCAUAUAGCAUGGCACACUUCUGGUAUAAUUUUGUGUACUGUUGAUUUUCCCACACGAUACUCCAAAUGUUUGGACAUCACGCUAUCACCUUGGGCAAGAUAUCUACAACAGGAAAAGAACAAUUAUAAAAUGUGAAAUAAGACAAGAUAGCACUAUCACAAUUGUAGCUACUCACGUCAGGGUUAUAGCCAGUCUUGUAUCUGGUGACAAAGAUUUUCGAUUACUGCGUUUUCUGAGAUAUGGGGUUACUGCCUUCAAUAAAAUUUUGUACUGUUCCGGGCAAAGCCGCGUGUACAUAAAAAAUUCUUCGUGAUCAUUUGAUCUGAUUUCACGAAAUAGAUUACACAGGAAACCUUGUUGUUUCCUUUUAUUGAUUGGUCUCACCCACCAACGUCUAAUUUUCACAUUCUGCCGAUAAUUUAUAAUUUGAAGCGCAACGUUUUGAUGCCAUAAUAACAUUAAAAAAGUCAUAAGGCCUAAUAAUUUCUGUAAAUCCAUUUUUGAGCGGGCACAUAUAUCACUGAUUACACAACAAAGCACACACUCCACAUUUUCUUUCUUCAUUGGUCUGCCUUACAUCUUACGUUACUGCCAUUGUAGACAAAUGGUUUUAAGAAUAAAAACUUUACAACCUACAACUAAAUAAUUACGACAAUAUCGAGCGUAAUGUACGUACACAAAUUAACGACUUAACCUUUCUUGAUAUGUAUUUUAACAUAAUAGUUUUAGAAUUAACUGCGUUGCGCUUCAACGAAAUCCUACGUAUAAUUUUGUCAAAUCGCGGGAUGUAACUUUACAAUACAAAUUACUUUAACUAUGAUUUUCACAAUAUCCAUAUUCACACGACCCUGCGAAUUGUAUUUUCCUAUGGAGAAUUCACAGCGAAUAAAUGCGAAAAAUUCCUCAUACUGUGACAUUCAAGCCUGUACUUUUAAUAAUAAUAAUAAUAAUUAAAAUGUAAGAACAAUAUCGCUAUUUUAUUCUACUUUAUAGAAAUAUGUAAUACAUGUUAUAAGCGUAUCAUCUAAUAAACUUCUUUGUAUCCACGACGCCUUUCUUACUUCUUCGCUGCAUUCUCACGCCUACCUCCCACCGAGCCGCGAUAAUAAAUCUUUUUCCUAUACACCCGCAAAUUGACAAUAAACGGGACGUGACCGUAGCUGUUUCUUCUUCCACCCCCGCGCCCAAAACUAACCCCGACACAAACCCGUCAUUUUGUCGGCCCCUGGCCCCAAAAGGCCCACGCUAAAAUGACCCUUUUUAACCAAUCCGAUCGCGUGGCAGUUACGGGAGCAACUAAUCAGAUCGCGCGGCUGUUACGGAGGCAGCCAAUCAGAUCGCGUGGCAGUUACGGGAGCAACCAAUCAGAACGCACCACUCGCCCUAGGCCACGCCCACUGUCUGUGACGUCAUUUGUUUUGAUGCCCCAUACGCUCCCAUAUACUACUACGGGACAUUGCCCUGAACGAUUAAGAGAACUUAUACCACAAGACAAACAAGUGCAUAUUUUAACAAUACCAAAAAAACGACUGCUUUUGUACAACCUUUAGACGUUUUCGGUUUUAGAAUCUGGAAAACUUUUGUUCGAAGUUUUUCUGAUAGUGUUAUUUCACAUAAUUAUGAUGUAAAUUUACAUUUACGUAAUAACAUGAUAAAAUUACAGUCUUUGACACAUAAUCAGCUUUCUUCUCCAAGAUUCCGAAAAUUUAAAUAUAGUUGGUACAAAAGUGGCUAUUUGUCACCACGGCCUGAAAGGUUUAAGAAUCCAAUUAAUUAUUGAUAUUUCAAAGAAGAAGAACGUAUACCAAGAUGUAGUAUUUGUGGUAAAAUGGCUUUUAUACGUUGUGCAUGAUGCAAAAAUUAUUAUUGUUUUGAACACUUUUUUGAACAAUAUCAUUAUUGUAACAACUAUAACGAAUAAAUAUUUAAUUUCUAAUUCUCUAUUGUAAUAACACGAUAUGUAUGGAAAGUAGCGUAAGCAAUUGUUAUAUAGUAAACAGAUUCUGAAUGAGUUAUAAAAUAGAUCAAAAUAGAUUAAAAUAGAUUAGUUAUAAAAAAGAUCGUAUAAUAAAAUAUGUAUAAAGAUAACAAUAUUGACAGUGCACUAUUGUCUUAUAUAUGAAAUUUUUAUGCUGGAUAGUUAAAGAGACCAAGGUAAUAAAGAAAUGUAAGUAGCAUGUAAUUCCUACUGCAUAAUUAAUUAGAGUAUUCUAUACAUAUUUCUUUCAAUAUAGUAGUCUUUUGUAGUGUGUUUGUUUCUAUUUAAAUAUAUGAUGAUCUAAUCAAUGAGACGUAUAAACCAAUGAAAUUAUACAGGGUGAGCCAUUUUAAACAGUCCAGUUGAAUAUGUCGAAAACCGAGUCCGAUAGAACAAAAUGUUUUAGAUGAAAUUUAUAGGGUUCUGAAGGGGUCAAAAGGUGGUGACAUUGUGAUUUUACUAAGGUCAUUUUUCGAGGACAUAUGAAGGUCAACUUUGGUUUUUUAAAUGAAAACUAGUAUUUUUUAUUACAUAUUUGAAAAGAUUAUCGAAUUUUGCAUAAGAAAUAUUUAUGACUUGUGUGAACUAUGUCUAACAGUUUAGCAGUUAUUCAGGCAUGAUGAAUUUUUUCCCUUAAAUUCUACCACAAAUAACGCGGGCGCGGAUGUUUGUGUUUAUCCAUUCUUAACGAUACCCAGGAUCAACGACGAGGACGUGAUGGAUAUUUAAUCCCAUUGGGGUGCUUGAUCACCGUGAGUCCCCUUGCCUCUCACGAUUAGAUAUGGAACUAACUGUUCAAUAGAUGUUCAAAAACAUCUCCUCUUCUCGCACAUAGAUUAACUCGCAUUUUAAAACUAUCAAUAGUGCGCAAUAAGACUUCACGUGAAAUGUUAUAGCAAACAGUACGUAUUCUGUUUUUCAUGUCAUUUCUCGUGGUUGCUGGUCGAGCAUAAACUUCAACUUUUAAUGAAGCCCCA